rnacentral:rRNA from 1 species
CCUACGGGAGGCAGCAGUGGGGAAUAUUGCACAAUGGGGGAAACCCUGAUGCAGCGACGCCGCGUGAGUGAAGAAGUAUUUCGGUACGUAAAGCUCUAUCAGCAGGGAAGAAAAAAAGUCCUUUGGACUUUGGACGGUACCUGACCAAGAAGCCCCGGCUAACUACGUGCCAGCAGCCGCGGUAAUACGUAGGGGGCAAGCGUGCUCCGGAUUUACUGGGUGUAAAGGGAGCGUAGACGGCAGCGCAAGUCUGGAGUGAAAUGCCGGGGCCCAACCCCGGAACUGCCUUGGAGACUGUGCAGCUGGAGUGCAGGAGGGGGAAGCGGAAUUCCGAGUGUAGCAGUGAAAUGCGUAGAUAUGAGGAGGAACACCAGUGGCGAAGGCGGGUUACUGGACUGUAACUGACGUUGAGGCACGAAAGCGUGGGGAGCAAACAGGAUUAGAUACCCGAGUAGUC